rnacentral:rRNA from 1 species
AUUGAACGCUGGCGGCAUGCCUUACACAUGCAAGUCGAACGGUAACAGGUUAAGCUGACGAGUGGCGAACGGGGGAGUCAUGUAUCGGAACGUGCCCAGUCGUGGGGGAUAACUGCUCGAAAGAGCAGCUAAUACCGCAUACGACCUGAGGGUGAAAGCGGGGGAUCGCAAGACCUCGCGCGAUUGGAGCGGCCGAUAUCAGAUUAGGUAGUUGGUGAGGUAAAGGCUCACCAGGCGGACGAUCUGUAGCUGGUCUGAGAGGACGACGAGCGACACUGGGAGUGAGACACGGCCCAGACUCCUACGGGAGGCAGCAGUGGGGAAUGUUGGACAAUGGGCGCAAGCCUGAUCCAGCCAUGCCGCGUGCGGGAAGAAGGCCUUCGGGGUGUAAACCGCUUUUGUCAGGGAAGAAAAGGUUCUGGCUAAUACCUGGGACUCAUGACGGUACCUGAAGAAUAAGCACCGGCUAACUACGUG